AUACGGAGGGUGCAAGCGUUAUUCGGAAUCACUGGGCGUAAAGGACGCGUAGGCGGGUUGGCAAGUCAGAUGUGAAAUCCUACAGCUUAACUGUAGAACUGCAUUUGAAACUGCUAACCUAGAGUAUGGGAGGGGGAGAUGGAAUUAGUGGUGUAGGGGUAAAAUCCGUAGAUAUCACUGGGAAUACCGAAAGCGAAGGCGAUCUCCUGGAACAUAACUGACGCUAAGGCGUGAAAGCGUGGGGAGCAAACAGGAUUAGAAACCCUAGUAGUCC
rnacentral:rRNA from 1 species